rnacentral:lncRNA from 1 species
GUUCAGAGUUUCCAGGGAGGAACUGAGACAUGCAGGAGGGGCCGGCACCAUCUGAGGCUGCAGAGGAGGUCUCUGGUCAUUUUUCCCGUGGUUGCAGCACAAGCAAUUAUUUCACCCACAAGUGGAGGCUGGUUUACUUCUUUUCAGCUCUUAUGACAGCGUGUGUAGCUGUGGAAAUGCAGGAUGGCUCAGCAUGCCGGGAGAAUGGAGGACACCCCCACCGCGCUCGGCCUCGCUUGUCGGCCAGUUGCAUUUCUCAGGGCUUCUCCUGCUGCAGGACUGUCACCGUCUGCAGGGAGCAGGCAGGACCUUCGGG